rnacentral:rRNA from 1 species
UGUGUAGGCGGAAGCUUAAGCGUUUUGUGAAAUCCCUCGGCUUAACCGAGGAAUUGCUUGACGAACUGGGCUUCUUGAGGCAGGUAGGGGUGCGCAGAACUCUUGGUGGAGCGGUGGAAUGCGUAGAUAUCAAGAGGAAUGCCGGUGGAGAAGUCGGUGCACUGGGCCUGUCCUGACGCUGAGACACGAAAGCGUGGGGAGCGAACG